CUCGUAGGCGGCUUGUCGCGUCGACUGUGAAAUCCCGCGGCUCAACUGCGGGUCUGCAGUCGAUACGGGCAGGCUAGAGUUCGGUAGGGGAGACUGGAAUUCCUGGUGUAGCGGUGAAAUGCGCAGAUAUCAGGAGGAACACCGGUGGCGAAGGCGGGUCUCUGGGCCGAUACUGACGCUGAGGAGCGAAAGCGUGGGGAGCGAACA
rnacentral:rRNA from 1 species